rnacentral:tRNA from 1 species
GCGGGAUUAGCUCAACUGGUAGAGUGCCAGCUUCCCAAGCUGGAGAAACGGGUUCAAGUCCCGUAUCCCGCU